rfam:Perkinsus marinus ATCC 50983 gcontig_1104296787622, whole genome shotgun sequence.
GGCUGUGUGGUCUAGUGGUAUGAUUCGCGCUUCGGGUGCGCGAGGUCCCGGGUUCGAUUCUCGGCUCAGCCC